GAGUGAAGAAGGUUUUCGGAUCGUAAAGCUCUGUUGUAAGUCAAGAACGUGUGUGAGAGUGGAAAGUUCACACAGUGACGGUAGCUUACCAGAAAGGGACGGCUAACUACGUGCCAGCAGCCGCGGUAAUACGUAGGUCCCGAGCGUUGUCCGGAUUUAUUGGGCGUAAAGGGAGCGCAGGCGGUCAGGAAAGUCUGGAGUAAAAGGCUAUGGCUCAACCAUAGUGUGCUCUGGAAACUGUCUGACUUGAGUGCAGAAGGGGAGAGUGGAAUUCCAUGUGUAGCGGUGAAAUGCGUAGAUAUAUGGAGGAACACCAGUGGCGAAAGCGGCUCUCUGGUCUGUCACUGACGCUGAGGCUCGAAAGCGUGGGUAGCGAACAGGAUUAGAUACCCUGGUAGUCCACGCCGUAAACGAUGAGUGCUAGGUGUUAGGCCCUUUCCGGGGCUUAGUGCCGGAGCUAACGCAAUAAGCACUCCGCCUGGGGAGUACGACCGCAAGGUUGAAACUCAAAGGAAUUGACGGGGGCCCGCACAAGCGGUGGAGCAUGUGGUUUAAUUCGAAGCAACGCGAAGAACCUUACCAGGUCUUGACAUCC
rnacentral:rRNA from 1 species